AUUGAACGCUGGCGGCAGGCCUAACACAUGCAAGUCGGACGGUAGCACAGAGAGCUUGCUCUUGGGUGACGAGUGGCGGACGGGUGAGUAAUGUCUGGGGAUCUGCCCGAUAGAGGGGGAUAACCACUGGAAACGGUGGCUAAUACCGCAUAACGUCGCAAGACCAAAGAGGGGGACCUUCGGGCCUCUCACUAUCGGACGAACCCAGAUGGGAUUAGCUAGUAGGCGGGGUAAUGGCCCACCUAGGCGACGAUCCCUAGCUGGUCUGAGAGGAUGCCACGCCAAACUGGAACUGAGACACGGUCCAGACUCCUACGGGAGGCAGCAGUGGGGAAUAUUGCACAAUGGGCGCAAGCCUGAUGCAGCCAUGCCGCGUGUAUGAAGAAGGCCUUCGGGUUGUAAAGUACUUUCAGCGGGGAGGAAGGCGGUGCGGUUAAUAACCGCGUCGAUUGACGUUACCCGCAGAAGAAGCACCGGCUAACUCCGUGCCAGCAGCCGCCGUAA
rnacentral:rRNA from 1 species